AGUGUCCCUUAGCUCCUGUUCACUCCUCUCCAGCCACACAGGCCUCCUCGCUAGGCCUUAACUGACCGAGGUCGUUGGCUACGCGGAGCCCAUGCACCUGUCAUCCCUUCUGCCUUGGACGUUCUUUCCCGGAGUUGCCUGCAGGCCUCUGCACAAACAUUAGCUCCUCAGAAAGGCUCUCCGUGGGCGUCUAACAUUUCCUGCCCCUCUUCCCCUGCGUCCCUCCCCAAGCCCUGCUCUAUUUCUCAUCGUAGCGGUACUUACCAACACCUGACGCUGAUUUGCAUGACCUAUUUGUUCCUCCUUGCUCAGGGUCUCCUCACCAGAAGGUGAAGGCCCGGAGCACGUGGCUGCCACUCCGCAGGCAUCCAGUGACCCACAUCCGCGGAAAGGACGCCCAGUGAAGUUGCUCACCUCUUCCAGGGCUCAGGCCCCCCCCGUCCCUCCAGGAGAGAGUAUCGGAGUGGGCAGGAGGCCGCUGCGUUCUGCAGCCCGGCCAUCCGAAGCAACCGCGGCCGGGUCCUCCUCCAUGGGGAUGUUCUCAUCAGCCCCAAAGAACACCCCCUACCCAUGAAGCAGCCACCCCUCCCAUUCCCUCUCUCCUCGGCGCCUGGCAACCACUCGUCUGCUUUCCGUCUGUGGAUGUGCCUGUUCUGGAUCUCUCAUUUAGAGGGAAGCACGCAGCCUGUGAAGACAAAGGCAAUCCCUGGUCCUCUGACUCCGCCCUGAACUCUGGGAGGUGCUCCUCCUUCCCUGUGCUGGGGGAGGCCAGGUGCUGCCCGGCCCUGCUGGAGCUGCUGGAGCUGCUGGGCUGUGUGUGUCACCACCUCCCACCCCGUCCUUGGACCCCAGAGCGACUGGACCCGCACCACGUAGCUGCUGGCCGGGUCCGUGGCCCCACGCUGGGAAUUCAGGAGACAGGCCCGGCCAGAUGUGCCUCCCCUGCUGGACAAGGAAGUGGGGGUGAAAAUGCAGCCCCCAUCUCUGCAAGAUGGGGUCCCCCAGGAGGGUUCCAUUCAGUACAGACCCUCUUCUCCCUGCAGCUUAGGGCACCACUUCUCUGCACCUGGUGCUCAGCUUAUGCAGGCCAGGGAGCCCGACCAAACGAAUAUUGACUCAUGUCGGCCUCGAAGGCGUUUGACGCCCCAGCCUUGUUUUAAUGUAAUGGUUUGGGGAACUACGGAUUCCCUUCGGAUUCAGGCUGGUUUGGGAAGGGUCCCGCGGUCCCCUCCCUGCCCUGAUGGGAGCAUAGGUUUGGUAAGUGGCUCUCGAGAGAAAUUCGUAUCUGGGUUUGGUUCAAGAAUUAGCAAAGAUACGCAGUCCGCUCUGGUCUUGGGGUGAGGCUUUGGUUCAGAGAGAGGACAGGGCUGGCUGUGGAGCCCAGGAGGACACGGCCGCCACCGCCCACUGGGCCCCCCGCCGCGGCUUGGGGGGUCCUGUGCUGCAUUUAGAACAGGAGCCCUGGCCCUCAAACCCAGUCAGUCUCCCAAGGGCAACACUGUUUGAUUGAUUUUGAAACUGUGACCGUGAAACGGUUAAUAAAAACCCGAUAGAUCUGCACGGAGGUGCUUUCCGCACUGCGCGGCCCCUGCUUAGAUGAGUGUGAUCCGUCACGGCCAGGCACGGACGCCCAGAGCGCCCUGCACGCAGGAGGGGGCUGUGCAACCACCGGGACCCCCGACUUCCCCCGUCUGCCCCUUGCCUCCAGGGAUGACGGAAACGUCUGCCUCUGCUGACACAGCUUCUCCGCUCUUUAGGACAAUGGUUCUCAAAGUGGGGUCCCCCACGCCACCACAGCAUCAUCACCUGAGAAAACUUCAGAAAUGCAAAUUCUUGAGCUCCACCCCUUGCUGCUCACCACCCCUGGGGCCCCCCACCUCUGCUCUGCAAAGCGCCCGCCACCCUCCGGGUCUUCGGCACCCGGGGCUUCCCACCGUGACUCUGGCUCUCUGUCUACGGUAUCUGACAAAUGCAGAUGCACCUGAUGGGGAGGCCGGACCCUAGGCCAGUGGCACACACAGCCACCACGGGUGACGGGUACUCCUCUCCUGGAGAGAGCCCAGCCCCGGCGCUCCAAGACACCCACCACCCAGCACUGAUGAAAUGCCCCCUCCUCUGGACGGAGGGCACACACCUGCUGAGUCUGACUCACUAAAGUGUUUUCUUUAGCCCAUUCAGGGCCUGUUUGUUUCAUUUAAUUUGAGGGCCUCGGAAUGGAAUGUGCCCUCUGGUAGGUCACAGUGCCAACCUCUCUCUCCCGUCCUGCCCUCCUCGGCCCCAAGGAUCCUGGAGCCUGGCUGGUGUUCUGAAGAAUCCGAUGGCCUCAGCUGGGCCCGCUGCUCUCUGGGAAAAUCGUGAGGGACACAAGCAUUUGGUCACCCCCUGCAAACGUCCACUCAGGCUGCUGGCUCUUUGCUCAGCACGGGCCCAUCAGGUCCCCCAGCCUGGGCCACCCCUAGGAGCUGGGAGGCCCCGUGCACCAGCUGGGGGAUCUCAGAGCUUCACACUCCUCCUCCGCCAAAGGGAGGUCCCGUUGUCAUGUUGCUCUGAGCUGGGAAUGACAGGAAGCAGGAAAGCCCACGGUGCCUGGCAAGGCUCUGGCCUCCCGGUCCCCACCCCGCCACCCAGAGCCCCUGUGACAAGCCAGAGGAGGGGGCAGGUGGAAGAGGAGACAGGCCUGCAGCCUCUCAGCGAGCUCGGCGCUGCAAACGUAGACUGCCCCCGGUGCGGUUGCUGGCUUCGUCGGGGAAAUUACUUUAGCCCGGCAUCAUUUUUUCUGUGCCUGCUCAAUAAAAUAAUUAUUGAUGGCCUCAUCCAUUUAAGUCACAAUCAAAAUAGCAGCCAAGAUGGGGUGGCCCUGGAUUAUAUCACCAGAGCAAGGAACUAGUUUCCAUCAAUUCGCAAAUACAUUCACAUUUAGGUGAAAAAUUAUGCCAUCUGGGGUCAAAUAUAUCAGAGGCUGGGCGCUGGGCGGGAGAGGGCCCAGGUCUCAGGGGGUCUCCACGAUUCAGCAGAGUAGGGGACAGCCUGAGUGGGCAGCGGAGGAGGCCCGUGCCCGGUGGACGUGAGAGGAGCGGGCCCCAUCCCUCCCAGGAGCCUCCCAGGGGGCUAAGGGCAUCAGCUUUUCCAAAGGAAGAAAGACAAAUACGUGCGGGUUGGACAGGAGAGAGACCCACAAUUUCCCAGGUGUUAACAGCCAUGUUAACAGGUGUCCAGCAACUCUCAGCAUCCAAGGUGGGACAGCAGGUGGGGGAACAGCGGAAAGCUGGAGCUCGAGACAGGUAGGGCGGGAGAACGGGAGGGAGGGGGGAAGGAACACCCCCCAGAUGUCGCUGUGUGCCAGGCACUGGGCUGGGUGCUCGGUGGCACCCAUUGCUCCAAUAGCCCGUGAGGCCAGCAGUGGCAUCUCCACGGCCGACGUGAGGACAGGAGGCUCAGAGAGGGGAAUUCACUCCUCCAAAGGUGCACAGUGUGUAGAAGACAGAACCUGGCAUUCACGUCAGAUUUCCCUGUACCUGGGGUCUUCUCUGGAACGGCCUCCGUCAGUCACUUGCGGGUACCUGUUUUAGACACAGAGAGAGAGAGAGAGAGACAGAGACCCAGGCAGAGGGAGAAGCAGGCUCCAUGCAGGGAGCCCGACGUGGGACUCGAUCCUGGGUCUCCAGGAUCACACCCCGGGCCGAAGGUGGAGCUAAACCACUGGGCCACUGGGGCUGCCCGGGACUGGUUUUCUGAAAGUGGGAACGUAAAUUAAUCAAGAAGAGAGAGAGGAGACCCUCCCCUGUGGGUCUUGGAGGUCAUGUGGGCCUAGCUGGGCCCUGCUGGUCUGGAGACAGCCCCCGUGUAUCUCCAGGGCUUUUCUCAGAGCCCUUUCCACUUAAGGCUGGCUCCAGCAAAUCUGGCUUCUAGUUAGGUUUCCCCAGACCCACCUCCCCAACCCCGCCACCUCCUGAUCUCCGACCUCUGACCCCCACCCCCUCAACACACAUCCAGGGGAAGCCUGUUCCUAGAGCUUACGUACUGCCUAGUAUGCAUGGGCUCACCUUCCCCUGGGGGUCUGAGCUUCAAACCUGUAUUCUAAUUAUGGCUUGAAAGGCGGUGACCCCGGAGAUGAGAUUUCAAGGGUUGACCGAAAGCAUUUUAGGGUGUGACAUGUCUCCCCUGUCCCCCCAAUAUCAUACCAUGUAGGGCAUUGUCUUUUCCUGUCUGCUCAGCACCAGCCCUGAGCAUGUGCCUUCAAUAAACACAGAAGACUGUGGGAUCCAUGUUGGAGGCACAGGAUAGGAAACGCUGGGGGGGGGGGGGGAGAUCUUAAAUCUGCCUCCCCAAUGUUUGACCCUUCUUUCACCUCCUUUAACAAGACGUCUCUUUAUUGGCAUGAUCUUACCUGCCAAAGCAUUCUGCCUCGCAGUGCUUGUUCUGGAAACUCCUGGCCCCAUGCACAGUCUCAGUUUGCACCCCGGGCCCUUGGCACCCGCCUCCCCCAUUCAGGGGACUGCCUUCAUCGUGGCCAUUGGGCCAUUUUGGAAAACAGCCUGACACUUCCACAGAAUGUUAGCUAUAGAAUUAUCACGUAAGCCGGCACUUCCACUCCUAGGCAUAGGCUCCAGAGAAAUGAAAACAGAACACUUGUCCAUAAAUGUUCGGAGUAGCAUAAUUCAUAAUAGUCCCCAAAGUGGAAACACCCCAAAUCUCCAUCCGUUGAUGAAAGGGAAUAAAAUACGGUAUAUCCGUACCCUGGAAUCCUACUCCCAAUAAGAGGCGAAGGGCUGAGACGUGGAUAAACAUGAAAACGUGCUGCUGAGUCAAAGAGGCCAGUCACAAAAAGACCCCACAUUGUAUGUCUCCAUGUAUAAAAAUGUCCACAACAGGCAAAUGGGUAGAUAGGAGGUAGAUUUGUGGUAGCUUCGGGCUGGAGAGCUGGGGUUGGGGAGAAAUGGGGAGUGACUGCUAAUGGGGAUUGGGGUUCCUCUUGGGGGUGAUGAAUAUGUUCCACAGUCGACUAUGGCCAUGGUUUUGCACAAUUCCGUGAUGACACUAGGACCAUUGAACUGUUCUCUUAAAAUGGGUCAGUGUCGGGUAUAGGAAUUAUAUCUCAAUGAGGCUGUUUAAAACAAAUCAUGGCAAUGUACAUGGCUCGGCCCCUCCGGCCUCUGACACCUUGCUUGCCCCUGCUGACGGCAGCCUUUUUACCUGCCCUUUUGCCACGUACGCAGACCUGUCACCUGGCUCUCCAUCCAUCAAUCACCCAGCUUCUCCUAGUUGCACCUGCUUCUGCCCACCCCAGCCGUGGCUCCCCACCCAAGUGCUCCCUGUUUCCCUGAUUCACAUGGCUGGGCUCAUCGGCCACCUGGGCUGGAGCCUCCUCCAGCUGGGGCCAGAUGGGGAAUGAUGCUGUCCCAGGGUCCUGAGAGCUGAGAUCAGCCCUGGGAGAUCUCCUCUGCUCCUUGCCCCGUCCUGACCGUGCUCAUUUCAUGGUGUACUAGUCUCCAGUGAGGCCCUGGGACAGACGGCUGAGUUUGAACCCUGGCUCUGCCACUUACCAGCUGUUAUGGGCUAAAUUGUGCUCCCUAAAUCCAUAUGUUAAAGUCUUAACCCCAAAUAUCUGGGAAUGUGACUGUAUAUGGAGGUGGCAUGUUUAAGAGGUUAUGAAGUAAGAUGGGGUCCUAAGGGUGGGCCCUAAUCCAAUAGCACUGGUGUCCUUAUAAGAAGAGGAGAUUAGGACACACACAGAAGGAAGGCCACUGAACACACAGGGAGUGGGCAGCUGUCCACAGCCAUUAGAGAGAGGACUCCGAAGAAACAGGCCGGCCUGCACCUUGAGCUCAGAUCCCUAGCCUGCAGAGCUGUAAGAAAAUUGAUUUCUGCUUGUUUAAGCCACCUGCUCCACGCUACUUUGCUAUGGCAGCUCGAGCCAACUAUUACACUAGCUACGUGACCUUGGGCGAGGCACAAUCCGCUUCGUCGUGCCUCAGUUUCCUUAUCUGUGAAAGGAAGAUGAUACUAGCACCUAUUCCUGAGGUCGCUGUGAAAAUUAAAUGAGCUAUACCUGUGAGGACCUAGAGGGUGCCUAGCACAUAGUAGGUGCUAUAUGUGUGUUCCUAUUACUAAUAUUAAUAGGAAUAUUAAUAUUCCUAUUAUUAGUAGUAUUUCUAUUCUGCAUCAGGGACACCACUCAAUAAAGAUUUCCAAGGACCAACGGCAUCAAUUGAAGGUGCAAGCUUUACUUUAACACUUACUCUUUUAGAUUCACGAAAGUAUGCCAGGAGGACGCCUGGGUGGCUCAGUUGUUAAGCCUCUGGCCCUUGCUUUUGACUCAGGUCAUGAUCUCAGGGUUGUGAGAUCGAGCCCUCUCCCUCUGCCCCACCACUGCUCUCUCUCUCUC